rnacentral:sRNA from 1 species
GAAGAUACUCCUCGCUCCCAGCGCCUGCCUUCCCCAGGCGUCCGUCCGUGUGCCCGUCUCCGCCUUUCCGCCUCCGAAGAGCGCUCAUCACUGGCUGGAGACAGAGCCGGGCACCAAGGAGCGACAGGAUCCCGAGGAGAGAGAGAGAAGGCAGCGAGGGAAGGAGGACCCCGGCAGGCAGCAGCAUGAAAUUCAGCCCAGCGCACUACCUGCUGCCUCUCCUGCCCGCGCUGGUCCUCAGCACCAGACAGGACUAUGAAGAGCUAGAAAAGCAGCUGAAAGAAGUCUUUAAGGAGCGAAGCACCAUUCUUCGUCAGCUGACAAAGACAUCAAGAGAACUUGAUGGAAUUAAAGUCAGUCUUCAGUCCUUAAAAAACGAUGAGCAUUCUGCCAAAAUUGAUGUUCAGAAGCUUCUGGAAUUAGGACAGAAACAAAGAGAAGAAAUGAAGUCUCUUCAGGAGGCCCUGCAAAAUCAGCUUAAGGAGACAUCAGAGAAAGCAGAAAAACACCAGGCUACUAAAUCAAUAGCAACAGCUCAGGCCUCUCCUGUCGUCAUGGUAACAUCAGUGCAGUACAAAAGCCCUGCUAGAAUGAGAAGUAAUGGGAAUGAAAAGUUCCAGGCUUCAAGAGGCUAUGCUGACUCUGGGAAAUUGCUCUGUUUCUCCCUAAAAAUACUUUGUUCCAAAUUGGCACCAGUUAUAACUAGCAGGAACUAUAGAUCUGAAUUCCUACAAGCAGUCACCAAAUGUAAUUAUUUGAGUUUGGACUUACAAGCUUUACAUUUGACCCUUCAAGUGGUACCCAGGGUUGGGGCACCGAGUACGUCAAUGUAUUAACUCAUCUUUGCUGGUGGGCACAUUUGUCAUCGGCUGGCACCUGGUAUAUGACUGCAUUUUUAAUUUAGGCUCUCACAAAUCCCUCAAAGUUACGAAGGCGUUGUAAAAUAUAUGUCUCAGGGAAACCUAAAACCAAGAAGCAUGUUAUAUAUUUUAUAAUUUUAUUAUUUUUAGGCUAACUUAAUUUCCCAUUUUAUUAUUCCCAUAAUAAAAAUUUUAUUAUUUUUAGGCUAACUUAAUUUCCCAUGGUUGCAUGCAUGCAUGUUUGAUAUAAAAAUUAUAAAAUACAGGAACAUAGAAAAUAGUAUGUUUUAUUAUUUUACUGUGGGAAAAAAGUAGUCAGAAUUUAUGGGCAUAUCUAAUAAAUAUAUUCCUGACCCUUCUAUAUAAAUAAUAUGGGGUGUUUUUCUUUCCACUUAGUAUACAUAUGCAAUUUUUCAUGGUACCAAAAGUUCUGUGUAAAUAUCAUAUUAACAACUGCCUAUUUGUAACACCUUCCCCUAAUGUGAAGAACAAAAUAUGUAUAUAUUUGUAUAUAUACAAAUAUAUAAUAUAUAAACGUGUGUAUAUAAUUAUAUAAUAUAUAAAAUAUGUAUUUGCAUUAUAUUAAAUAUUAAUAAAUUAUAAUAUAUGCAUUUAUAUAUUAUAUACCUUAUAGAUAUAUAAUAUAUAAAUAUGUAUAUUAUGUAUUUGUGUGUGUA